AGAUAAAAUUUUAUAUUUUAGAAAAUUUAUUUUUAAUUUAUUUUACAUAUAAAUUUUAGUGGGUAAUUUUAAUUAUUUAAAUAAUAAUAAAUCAAUUUUGUAGUAAUUAAUAUUAAAAAUUUAAGAAAUUAAGAUUUAGUAUUAUAAAAAUUAAUAACUAAUUUUGUGCCAGCAGUUGCGGUUAAACAAAAGUUAAAUUAAAUUUAUUCAGUAUAUAAUAAAUAAUGAUUUUUUUAAAAAAUAUUAAAUUGUAAGGUGAAAUUUAAAUUUAAUUAAAAUUUAUUUUAAUAUUAUGAUUUAAUAAAUUUUAUUAUAAACUAGGAUUAGAUACCCUAUUAUUAAAAAUUUAAUUAUAAAUACUAAAAUAGUAGAUAAUUUAUAUUGAAACUUAAAUAAAAUGGCGGUAUUUUAGUUCAUUUAGAGGAAUCUGUCUAAUAAUUGAUAAUCCACGAAUAAAUUUACUUAAUUAAAAAUUUUGUAUAUCAUUGUUAAAAAAAUAUUUUUAAAUAAAAAUAAUAUUUAAAAAUUUAAAAUAGAAAUUAAUUCAGAUCAAGAUGCAGAUUAUAAUUAAGAUUAAGAUGGAUUACAAUAAAUUUAUUUAAACGAAAAAUAAUUUUGUAAUAUAAAAUUGAAGGUGGAUUUAAAUGUAAUUUUAAUUAAUUUAUUAAAAUGAUUAAUAAUUAAAAUAUGUACAUAUUGCCCGUCACUUUCAUUUAAAAAUUGAAAUAAGUCGUAACAAAGUAGAGGUACUGGAAAGUGUUUCUAGAAUGAU
rnacentral:ncRNA from 1 species